GAAAUCAUAUGACUCGUCAAUUGAUGGUGAUUAUGAUAAUAUAAGGGAAAAAUUUGAUAUUACCUUAUUAUUAGUGUUGUCCAAAACUGGUGCCAGAAGACUCGGUAAGACCAGAGACGCGAACGUUAGUCAUCUUAAUCAGGCGUAAAGGGUUUGUAGGCUGCUUUAAAAGUUUAAAUCUUUAUAAUAGCUCUGUGACCGUAAUGCUAUAUUAUUUAAAUUUAAAAUUAACUUUAAUUGAACUAAAUAAUUAAUUAAAUUAAUAUUAAUAUUAAUUAAAAAAUAUAAUAUAUACAAUUUAUUAAUAAAUAAAUGAUAUUAUUACUAUAUCCGUGUCACAGUUAAGAAAUAAAUGAAUUAAAGCUAGGAUCAAAUUGAGGAUAACCCAAAUAAUACUUAGAGUAGGGCUUAUAUCCGCAGAUACUAAGGGGAAUACUAAAGGUGAAAGCUUUUUAUCUACUAUUGAUUGACGCUGAGAAACGAAGGUGAGAAUAGGAAAUAGGAUUAGAUACCCAGAUACCUCUCACUGUCAACGAUGAAUGGUAGUUGUUAGUUUUAAUAAAAACUGGUAACGAUGUUAACACGAUAACCAUUCCGCCUUGCGAGUACGGUUGCAAAACUGAAACCAAAAAAAUUAGUCGGUCU
rnacentral:rRNA from 1 species